GGAUUAGAAACCCGGGUAGUCCACGCCGUAAACUAUGUUUGCUAGCUGUCGGGAGUCUUAGGCUCUCGGUGGCGGAGGGAAACCAUUAAGCAAACCGCCUGGGGAGUACGGUCGCAAGAUUAAAACUCAAAGGAAUUGACGGGGACCCGCACAAGUGGUGGAGCAUGUUGUUUAAUUCGAAGCAACGCGAAGAACCUUACCUACGCUUGACAUCCUGUGCUAUAUCCAGAGACGGAUAGUUCCCUUCGGGGACGCAGUGACAGGUGCUGCAUGGCUGUCGUCAGCUCGUGUCGUGAGAUGUUGGG
rnacentral:rRNA from 1 species